UAUAGUAUCAGAUUUGAGAAAGCCUUUGUAAGUCUUGCUUGUAAAAUGAACUUCUUCUACAUUUUUCUGCUGGUAGCUAUUGUCUUGAUGGCGCUUACGUCGGUUCAGGGUUGUAAGCUUCCGUCUGGAGGAUGUGGUAAAAAAGAAAAAGACUGCGAAUGUGAAAAGCCGAAGCCCAAGAAGACCAAAGGUUGCUGAAUAAAAUGACAAGAAUUGUGUAUUAAACUAAUUUUGCGGUUUAUGGCCCCGUAGGUUCGUGCUCUUCUCUUACUAUAGGUAUGAGGUACGAGAGAUGGUUAUGCGUGCUCAUCAGGAACGGGGAUAUCAUGUUGUUGAAUUUUAAUUUUAAAACAUAUAUUUUUCAUCAAAUUUCUAUAAAGAAAAGUAGCCACUGUAUGUAAUUGCAUGAUUUCUAUAGUAAUCUAAAUUGUAUUUUUUUUUCUUAUGUAAUGCAUGUUAAUUAUAAGAUGUAAUGUUUUGAAAAGAUGUGUCCCGCCGAGUUUCUUGCCGGUCCUUAUUGGGAUACCCUCCUCCAAUUGAGGGGGGAUUUAAAUCUUCUCGGGUCAGAGGUGUAGGGUUAGAGCCGGUGUAGCUUUAUUUGACGUUCAUAAGCGCAUUGUAAUAUGCCUACUGGAAUAAUAAUAAAAAAAUGUUGUAAAGCCCGACCAGAAAUAUAUGAUCAUUGUCAAGAGGGCGCUGUUAUUCUCAUGUAUAGGGUGACAGUUCAGUUUAGUAUGAAAAAUUUAGUUCCAAUGAAAUUCCGCAAUAUGGCGCGUGAUCAUAUAUUUCUGGACAAGCUUUAAGUUUUUUUUACAAAUUUUUAAAAUACAUUUUAGACCUAUGUUCGUGACUCUUCUUUUUCAACCUAGCGUUUUCCCGGCCUAGCGCCAUGGUCCGCUUUUCUACUUAAUCUUUUUAUUUUAUUUAUUUCUUACACAUAACUAUUUUAACAGGUACUAAACCUAAGACAAUAGUGUAUCUACUUAUGUAUAAAAUUACAAUCUAAAGUAUAUCAUUACAUUCAUUACAUCUAUAAGAUAAUAUAUACAAUGCUGACUUUGUGAAUUCAUUCAGAGAACAUGAGAACAGGUCUAUAUUCUCCGCCAUUAUCUUGAGGGUCCACACAGCGCGCGUCAGCGGCACCAAACCGAGCACAUUGGUGCGCCCGCGCGUCUCGGCCAGCAAUCGCGGCCGACGCCGGCGCCACACAUCGUUGGGCACGUACACUAUCACUUUGCCCGGUCUUCGGCAUCCCUAGCGGUGGAAGCACGGUUCAUUUUUAUGCCUGUCACUUUCGGGCUAACAUACUUGUUAGAACGAGACAGGCAUGGUGACAAAUGAUCAUCUUAGCCCUACAGAUGUGAGAUUGUGAAUUUCAAGCGUUCUCUUUCAUGUCCGCUAUCACGACGUCCAGUGCUUGUUACGCCUGCCGCGACUGCGUGAUCUAGGGCCUUGGACAGCGAGGUUGAGGCAUCUAUUUCCGACGUAGUGGACUCUUAAACCGUAAAAUUAGUUUAAUGUUAGUAUGACUUAAGACCGUUUAAAAUUAUGUAAAUAAAUGUAUUGCAACACU